ACCGGCGUCUUGUGCAAAUGUCUUUCACAUGCUGCAACUGGAGACACCAGGAUCAGGUGAAAAGGGCAAGAAAAACAGCAAGAAAGCAAAAACUCCAAGAAGAAAGUGCCAGAAACGAAGCCUGAGGAAAAGGGGGAAAAGUGGUCACUUUAAAAAUACAAGCUGCUCUGGCUCAGGUAAAAGAAGUCUGAGGAGAGAAUGAGGGCUUAAAAGACAAUAGAAAAGGACUUUAAAAGAUUUGAAAAGCAACUUCAGCAACUGUCACACACAAUAAGCCUCAAGUCUGAAAGCAGCCAGGGGAAUGUACCUGGAGUAAACAACACAGGGGAGGAAAAAAGGCAGAAAUGAAAACAAUGAAGUCACAAGCCAUUGGGGAGAGCUACCUGGAUCAAGUGUGUGUACAUAAUAAUGUCUUGAUCUGACAACUGAAGGCAAAAAAGGAAGAAGCUAGUUAAAUCAAUGAGGCAGAGAAUUCCGUAGUCUGGUACCACCAAUAAGAAAGCCUGAUAUCAAGUGCUUACCUGAUGCACCUCAAACAACAUCAGA